GGUACCUAGAACAGAGCAGAGCUGGGGGCUCUGGCUUGCCUGUAAUCUCCAGGGGACAGCGACUUUCUCUCCCUGUUUGUGUAACGCAGACCACAACAGGGCCCUGAUCUCAGCACCAGCUGUGCCACACCUAGCCAGCCGGCCAAGCACCCACCCAUGCAGACCCCACCUGAAUCAUCGUCAGUCUGGGAAGAGAAGCGUCGCUGGGCUGGAAGCCUGUUUACCAGAGAAAAUGCUCCUUCCCUGGUGUCUUUGGGAGCGAAUAGACCUGGGCCCUUUCCAGCAUAGUCUUCCCCACAUAUCCUUGGGUCACCUCAGGCUGUGGCCCUGAUCCAGAAAUCAAGGGUUGCAGGGGCCUGGGCUAUUGGGUCUGGAUGCAGGAUUGGGGCUUUAUGUGAUUAGCUCCUAGGGGCGAGCCUCAUGUCUCUUAUAGCUCUGUAAAGCACCAGCCUCACCCAAGGGGUAAUAACACAGGACCAGAGUGAUGCCAAGAAAGCAGAAGCUACUUGCAAGCCCCUUGCUUGGCAUUUCUCUGGAACCAGCGCCUCCCCUGGUGUAGGGGGCAUGGCAGGGUGGAGAGGAGGCAUGGCUGGAGCACAGCAUGCUCUGGCAAUGCCCAGCUGGCAAAUGGUCACUAAGGGACCAUAACCAACUGAGACCAGUUGAGAACAGGGACCCCUGGCUGCUUUAACCUGUUCUGGAGCUGAGGCAGAGAAUCCAGGAGCUGUAACCAGCUUCCUGCUGGUCCCCUCCUGAUGCACCUGAGAAUUUGCUCUGUAGUGUUUGCCAGAGGUGGAUGCUCUCGCUAAGGUCAGAACCUGCUUUCCACUCUAGCCCCGCUGCAUGCAGCUGACUCUCUCUCUGAGUGCCAUGGGGGCUGUAAGUUUCUAAGGCUCUGGCCCGACCUACUGCAGAACUGAUUUA